GAGGGUAUAGCUCAAAGUGGUAGAACACAUGUUUAGCAUGUAUGAGAUCCUGGGUUCAAUCCCCAGUACCUCCU
rfam:Camelus ferus unplaced genomic scaffold scaffold1891, whole genome shotgun sequence.